UGCCCCAGUAACGGCGAGUGAAGCGGCAACAGCUCAAAUUUGAAAUCUGGCCCCUCCGGGUCCGAGUUGUAAUUUGUAGAGGAUGCUUUUGGUGAGGUGCCGCCCGAGUUCCCUGGAACGGGACGCCACAGAGGGUGAGAGCCCCGUCUGGCUGGCCACCGAGCCUCUGUAAAGCUCCUUCGACGAGUCGAGUAGUUUGGGAAUGCUGCUCAAAAUGGGAGGUAUAUGUCUUCUAAAGCUAAAUAUUGGCCAGAGACCGAUAGCGCACAAGUAGAGUGAUCGAAAGAUGAAAAGCACCUUGAAAAGAGGGUUAAACAGUACGUGAAAUUGUUGAAAGGGAAGCGCUUGUGACCAGACUUGGGCGCGGCGGAUCAUCCGGGGUUCUCUCCGGUGCACUUCGCCGCGUUCAGGCCAGCAUCAGUUCGUCGCGGGGGAAAAAGGCUUCGGGAACGUGGCUCCUCCGGGAGUGUUAUAGCCCGUUGCAUAAUACCCUGCGGUGGACUGAGGACCGCGCAUCUGCAAGGAUGCUGGCGUAAUGGUCACCAGCGACCCGUCUUGAAAACACGG
rnacentral:rRNA from 1 species